rnacentral:rRNA from 1 species
UUGGGACUUGCGAAACCUAAAGGCGAAAUGAAAGUGAAGGCCCGCCUUGCGCGGGCCGAGGGAGGAUGGGCCGCGUCACGACGCGGCCCCGCACUCCCGGGGCGUCUCGUUCUCAUUGCGAGAAGAGGCGCACCCAGAGCGUACACGCUGGGACCCGAAAGAUGGUGAACUAUGCCUGGUCAGGACGAAGUCAGGGGAAACCCUGAUGGAGGUCCGUAGCGAUUCUGACGUGCAAAUCGAUCGUCGGAACUGGGUAUAGGGGCGAAAGACUAAUCGAACCAUCUAGUAGCUGGUUCCCUCCGAAGUUUCCCUCAGGAUAGCUGGCGCUCGCUUUUGCGAGUCUCAUCCGGUAAAGCGAAUGAUUAGAGGCAUUGGGGUCGAAACGGCCUCAACCUAUUCUCAAACUUUAAAUGGGUGAGAUCUCCGGCUUGCUCAAACUUGAAGCCGCGAGAUUAACUUAAUAUAAGGAUCAGAGUGCCAAGUGGGCCACUUUUGGUAAGCAGAACUGGCGCUGUGGGAUGAACCAAACGCAGAGUUAAAGCGCCAAAAUCGACGCUUAUGGGAUACCAUGAAAGGCGUU